rnacentral:rRNA from 1 species
AUACGUAGGGUGCAAGCGUUAAUCGGAAUUACUGGGCGUAAAGCGUGCGCAGGCGGUUUUGUAAGACAGUGGUGAAAUCCCCGGGCUCAACCUGGGAACUGCCAUUGUGACUGCAAGGCUGGAGUGCGGCAGAGGGGGAUGGAAUUCCGCGUGUAGCAGUGAAAUGCGUAGAUAUGCGGAGGAACACCGAUGGCGAAGGCAAUCCCCUGGGCCUGCACUGACGCUCAUGCACGAAGGCGUGGGGAGCAAACAGGAUUAGAUACCCUGGUAGUCCACGCCCUAAACGAUGUCAACUGGUUGUUGGGGAUUUAUUUUCUCAGUAACGAAGCUAACGCGUGAAGUUGACCGCCUGGGGAGUACGGCCGCAAGGUUAAAACUCAAAGGAAUUGACGGGG